GCGCGUACUCAGCGGCUCUCGGGUCCCAGCGUCCCAGCCGCGGCCCGCGCUCCUCCGCCCCGCUCCUCCUCCUCCUCUUCCUCCUCCUCCUCCUCUCUAGGCACCCCCGUCCCCUCCUUCCAGCGGCUGCAGCCCCCAGCCCCAACUCUCCGCGCUUACUCCUGGGACGCGCGUCCUCGCCCCAUCCUUUGCUUCCUUCCUUCCUUCCUUCUUCCUUCCUCCCCUGGCUCCCGCCCUCCCUCUCCAGGUCGCCCUCCCGGGGCCCGAUUGUCUCGGUGCCCCGCUCCCGGCCCGCGCCCUGCCCCGUCUCUCCCUUGCACUUCCUGAGUCGCCCGCCGCCGCCGUCGCAGACUCGCCGCGGGAGCCCCAGCCCAACCCGAGCCCGACAGCCACUGCCCCGGCUCCAGCUCCAGCCCCACAGCCCGCGGCGCCCGCCCGAGGGAGCCCCGGCGCCCGGGGAAGGCUCCAGUGGGCUAGCGCGCCCUCGCCCAGCCCCGCGCCCCAGCCCUGCCCGGCCCGGCGAGGAAGGACCGGGAAGAUGAACAACGGCGGCAAAGCCGAGAAGGAGAACACCCCGAGCGAGGCCAACCUUCAGGAGGAGGAGGUCCGGACCCUAUUUGUCAGUGGCCUUCCUCUGGAUAUCAAACCUCGGGAGCUCUAUCUGCUUUUCAGACCAUUUAAGGGCUAUGAGGGUUCUCUUAUAAAGCUCACAUCUAAACAGCCUGUAGGUUUUGUCAGUUUUGACAGUCGCUCAGAAGCAGAGGCUGCAAAGAAUGCUUUGAAUGGCAUCCGCUUCGAUCCUGAAAUUCCGCAAACACUACGACUAGAGUUUGCUAAGGCAAACACGAAGAUGGCCAAGAACAAACUCGUAGGGACUCCAAACCCCAGUACUCCUCUGCCCAACACUGUACCUCAGUUCAUUGCCAGAGAGCCAUGUAAAUGAGCUCACAGUGCCUGCACUUUACCCCAGUAGCCCUGAAGUGUGGGCCCCGUACCCUCUGUACCCAGCGGAGUUAGCGCCUGCUCUACCUCCUCCUGCUUUCACCUAUCCCGCUUCACUGCAUGCCCAGUGUUUCUCUCCUGAGGCAAAGCCCAACACACCUGUCUUUUGUCCACUUCUCCAGCAAAUUAGAUUUGUCUCUGGGAAUGUGUUUGUAACAUACCAACCUACUGCAGACCAGCAGAGGGAGCUCCCAUGUUGAAUUUGUUUGUUAGCUAUUUUCCCCCCUUU
rnacentral:lncRNA from 1 species